rnacentral:misc_RNA from 1 species
UCAUGCUUUUAAAGAUGAAUGACAAGCAAUAAGUUAAGCUACUUUAGAUCGUUGAUCUAUAUAACAUGCGACACAUGGUUGGCGAACAUGUGUGUGUUUGUUUGAAUUAUGAUUCGGUACGAAAUGUGCCAAGAAAAAGAAAAUAUUAUUCCUUUUUUAAAUGAGACACGCUGUUAUUUUUUAUAAGGGUGGAGAUUAUUCAAUAAU